CAAAUACGUGCUACUACUAAUUAUAUACAUAUAUAAUAUAUGUUCACCUACUUAAAUUAUAAGGAAAUAUAUUUUUGAAAGGAUGUGCAAAAUGUUAUAAGAAAUUGUUACCCAUCUUUAUUUUUAUAAGGGGUAAAGUACAUAAUAAACACAAAACUUUUAUUUUAUUUUAUUUUUUGUUAAAGAGUAUGAAUGAACGAAUAUUAAAAAAUAUUUGGAGGUAUGAGUCAUCGUGUUUAUUAAUUAAUAAAAAUAAUAACUUGGGCUUUUUUACUUCGGUAAAAAUAUCACAUUGUAAUGGUUUAUUAUUGCAAGAGAAAAAAAAAUAUCUUUUAAGCGUUAGUAAUGGAAACAGUGUUAACAAUGUGAGUAACCCCAUACAACAUAGUAGUAGUAGUAGUAGUAGCACAAUCCAGGCAUGCCAAAACACAACACAACAUACUAACAGCAUAAUACAUAUACAUAAUAAAGAAACACAACCUGGGUUUGUUCAGUUUUUGGAAUUCGAAAAUGCUAACAAAAAAGGUACUUAUAAAAAUGAUAAGCAUGUUAUAAAUGGUCAAUUAAUAUAUACUACAUUUUUUUUUUUUCAUAAAGAUAAUAUAAUUUUAUAUGCACACGGUAAUAAUAAAAGUUUGAAUUUUAAACAUAUAAAGAACUAUUCAACUAUAAAAUGUUCUAAUGUUAUAAAAGAAUAUGUAAAUACAGAAAAGCAAGAAGAGCUAGUUAAUAAACAAAACAAUAUGAUAAAUAAUUUUAAUCGAAAUGAAGAAAUAAAAAAAAAAAAAUAUAUAUGCAUGGAAAAAGUUCAUGAAACAAUUGAUUAUUCACAAAUUUUUGAGUUAAACCACGAGAGACAUAAUAAUAUAGGUCGAAAAAGGUCAUAUUUUGAAGGGGAUAAUAAAGAUGAAAAAGUCACCAACACUACUAAUAAUAUAAAUCCAAAUAUAUGUAAUAGUAUAGAUAGUAGUAUAUAUAAAAAUAUAGGAACUAGUACAGGAGUUAAUAAUAGUCCUUACGAUAACAAUAAGAUUAAUGAUGUUUUUAAAGUAGUUAAUGAAAAUAAUAAAAACGAUUCUUAUAAGGCAAAGGUUAGUAGUAUAGUAGAACAUAAAGUAGAAGGAGAAGAAAAAAGAGAAUUACGUAGUAAUAAAAAUAGUAAUGAUAAUGGUCAGGAUAACGGGACAGGUGACAGAGAAGAAGAAGGUGAUGAUAAGAUAAGAAAAAGGAAUAAUGAAAUAAGUAAAAUAUUAAAUAUUAUAUUUUGUUCUUCCAUUCCUAUGAUAGGGUUCGGUUUUAUGGAUCAAAUAAUUAUGAUUCGUUUAGGUGACAUUUUUGAUGCAUCUAUCGGUGUAACUUUAGGUAUAUCUACAUUAGGUGCUGCUUCUUUUGGUCAACUUUGUAGUGAUACUUUUGGUGUUUUUUUUGGUUAUUUUUUAAAUUAUUUAUUACAGAAAUAUAAUUUUAUACGUAUGGCUAAAUUUGACGUGAAAAAUAAAAUUUACCAGUACUGCACUUUAAUUGGUUCAGUUUUAGGGAUUUUAUUGGGUUGUGCUUUAGGGAUGUUACAAUUAAUUUUUAUUGAUACUAGUAAAAGUGAAAGGUUAAAAAAAAAAAAAGAGUUAGAUUUUAUUUUUCAAAUGGUUAUGUACGAUUGUUCAAAUGUAUUAAACUGUGAAACAUCUACAUUAUUUUUAUAUGAUCAAAAAAAAAAUGAAUUAUGGAGUAAAGCUAUAGAUGGUAGGAAAAACAUCAUCAAAAUUUCAGCUAAUAGUAAUGAAAAAAGUUUUUCUUUAUGGGCUUUAAGAAACAAAGAAAUUAUUAAUUGUAAUGACGUGUUGAACCAUGAGUUAUAUAAUCCUUUACAAGAUAAACAAUGUAAUACAAAAACAAGAACUAUUUUAGCUGUACCAAUACUUAAUAGUAAUAAUGAAGUUGUUGGAGUUUUAAUGUUUUUAAAUAAAUUAAGAUCUCAUGGUGGAUACUUUACAACUAAUGAUGAAAAGCUAGCUGAAAUGAUGAGCAAACAUAUAGCUAUCUUUAUGGAAAAAUUUAAUUAUAUAAGUGAAGGAGAUCAAAAAAUGAUUAUUUUUGACAAAGAAGAGGAAGAAGAAGGUGUACAAGAAGAUGAAGAGGAAGAAGAGGAUGAAGAGGAUGAAGAAUAUGAAACAAAUAUGGAGGAAGAAGAAGAAGGAGAAGAUGGUGAUGAAACAAAUGUGGAAGAAGAAAACAGCAUAGGAGAUGUACGAAAUCAAAAAAAUGUAAAAAAAAAAAAAAAAAAAAAAAAAAAAUAAAUAACAAUAAUAAAACAAGCAUUAAAUAUAACUUAGCA
ensembl:lncRNA